GAAAUGCGAUAACUAGUGUGAAUUGCAGAAUUCCGUGAAUCAUCGAGUCUUUGAACGCACAUUGCGCCCCCUGGUAUUCCGGGGGGCAUGCCUGUCCGAGCGUCAUUGCUGCCCAUCAAGCACGGCUUGUGUGUUGGGUCGUCGUCCCCUCUCCGGGGGGGACGGGCCCCAAAGGCAGCGGCGGCACCGCGUCCGAUCCUCGAGCGUAUGGGGCUUUGUCACCCGCUCUGUAGGUCCGGCCGGCGCUUGCCGAACGCAAAUCAAUCUUUUUCCAGGUUGACCUCGGAUCAGGUAGGGAUACCCGCUGAACUUAAGC
rnacentral:misc_RNA from 1 species